rnacentral:rRNA from 4 species
AAAUUGAAGAGUUUGAUCAUGGCUCAGAUUGAACGCUGGCGGCAGGCCUAACACAUGCAAGUCGAACGGUAACAGGAAGAAGCUUGCUUCUUUGCUGACGAGUGGCGGACGGGUGAGUAAUGUCUGGGAAACUGCCUGAUGGAGGGGGAUAACUACUGGAAACGGUAGCUAAUACCGCAUAACGUCGCAAGACCAAAGAGGGGGACCUUCGGGCCUCUUGCCAUCGGAUGUGCCCAGAUGGGAUUAGCUUGUUGGUGGGGUAACGGCUCACCAAGGCGACGAUCCCUAGCUGGUCUGAGAGGAUGACCAGCCACACUGGAACUGAGACACGGUCCAGACUCCUACGGGAGGCAGCAGUGGGGAAUAUUGCACAAUGGGCGCAAGCCUGAUGCAGCCAUGCCGCGUGUAUGAAGAAGGCCUUCGGGUUGUAAAGUACUUUCAGCGGGGAGGAAGGGAGUAAAGUUAAUACCUUUGCUCAUUGACGUUACCCGCAGAAGAAGCACCGGCUAACUCCGUGCCAGCAGCCGCGGUAAUACGGAGGGUGCAAGCGUUAAUCGGAAUUACUGGGCGUAAAGCGCACGCAGGCGGUUUGUUAAGUCAGAUGUGAAAUCCCCGGGCUCAACCUGGGAACUGCAUCUGAUACUGGCAAGCUUGAGUCUCGUAGAGGGGGGUAGAAUUCCAGGUGUAGCGGUGAAAUGCGUAGAGAUCUGGAGGAAUACCGGUGGCGAAGGCGGCCCCCUGGACGAAGACUGACGCUCAGGUGCGAAAGCGUGGGGAGCAAACAGGAUUAGAUACCCUGGUAGUCCACGCCGUAAACGAUGUCGACUUGGAGGUUGUGCCCUUGAGGCGUGGCUUCCGGAGCUAACGCGUUAAGUCGACCGCCUGGGGAGUACGGCCGCAAGGUUAAAACUCAAAUGAAUUGACGGGGGCCCGCACAAGCGGUGGAGCAUGUGGUUUAAUUCGAUGCAACGCGAAGAACCUUACCUGGUCUUGACAUCCACAGAACCUUGUAGAGAUACGAGGGUGCCUUCGGGAACUGUGAGACAGGUGCUGCAUGGCUGUCGUCAGCUCGUGUUGUGAAAUGUUGGGUUAAGUCCCGCAACGAGCGCAACCCUUAUCCUUUGUUGCCAGCGGUCCGGCCGGGAACUCAAAGGAGACUGCCAGUGAUAAACUGGAGGAAGGUGGGGAUGACGUCAAGUCAUCAUGGCCCUUACGACCAGGGCUACACACGUGCUACAAUGGCGCAUACAAAGAGAAGCGACCUCGCGAGAGCAAGCGGACCUCAUAAAGUGCGUCGUAGUCCGGAUUGGAGUCUGCAACUCGACUCCAUGAAGUCGGAAUCGCUAGUAAUCGUGGAUCAGAAUGCCACGGUGAAUACGUUCCCGGGCCUUGUACACACCGCCCGUCACACCAUGGGAGUGGGUUGCAAAAGAAGUAGGUAGCUUAACCUUCGGGAGGGCGCUUACCACUUUGUGAUUCAUGACUGGGGUGAAGUCGUAACAAGGUAACCGUAGGGGAACCUGCGGUUGGAUCACCUCCUUA